AAGGAUAAACUAAGUAACAGAGGGCGCUAAAAAGCGACUUGAUUUUAGGGACUGACCAAGAAAUCCUGAUUUCUUAGGGCAGUCAUCUAAAUCACAAGCUUUUAGCCCGAGUACAAUUUAGCCAAAGUGGUUAAUAGAAGUACCUGAAGCUUAGUACCGGAAGCACGUUUUGGGGACGCUAUUUAGUUUUCAGAGGUUUUGUGGGGCCUUAGCUCAGCUGGGAGAGCGCCUGCUUUGCACGCAGGAGGUCAGCGGUUCGAUCCCGCUAGGCUCCAUUAGGAUACGGAGGACGAUUCGCUUUAGCGAAAACUUCUGUAGAAAAAUAGGAAACUGACGCCAGUGUCCUUAAGGACACGAGGAAGUUUCUCUUUUUUCCUAAGAAGUUAGUCCGGAGUUCAACUAUUCUCAAAGAGCAGUGACCCCUUAUCCUAAGARGCAACGAAGUUGCCAAUUGUUCAUUGAAAAUUGAAUAUCUAUCAAAUAGUAACAAGAAAAUAAACCGAAACGCUGUUAUAUUUUAAAGAGACCAAAGAGAAAU
rnacentral:tRNA from 1 species